AUGUUUUGGCAGAUUCGUUGGGGAGGUAUCCCUACCCUACCCGCGUCGUUUCCCCGGGGAAACGUUCCACGCCUCCAGGGGUUGGGGAGAGAAGCCACGGCUCGAGCGAGACCGCGAGCGCAUGCAGCGACUGAAAGGCGACGACGGCCAAGAUCCAGUCCUCCGCCUCCGACUUUCUCCGGCAGCGACCAGAGAGACGGACCGCCCCCUCCCUCCGGUGCUCCGCCCACCAGCAACCGUGACGGCCGUGGUCGUCACCCUCCUCCUUCCCUAGAUCUACCCUCCUCCUCGAAGUUCAUGUCCCCUCCGGUGACGGCAAUGGCGACGGUUCCACGGUCAACUUCCACCUACUUCGAUCAAGGUGCUCUGAACCUCUGA
rnacentral:rRNA from 1 species